UGUCAGAGCUGCAUUUCGUCUGGAUACGAUCGCACUUGUGGAGAUCCUUAGACGUCCUUUUCAUACCCAAAGUGGACGGGUGUAGCCAUGAGCCCGCGAAAGGCUUUUCAUCAAUCACCCUCACCUCUUGCAUGUUGAAGACAAGAGAGCAUCACUUAGGCAAGGUGCAAAUUGAGACGCAGCUUGGUGAGGUGACAUGACGCAGCUUCAGAGCGUCUGCGAGCUGCCACGGUUUGUGUUCAUUUUGGCAGUUUUCACUAGGGACUACUUCCUGCGCUGAGUGAAAGUAAGCAUCCCGUACAGUGGCGAUAGAACUGCGCCUAAACUGUCGCUCUACCCGCUCGCAGAGGACUUCAUCUCUUGGUUCCUGCGUUACACUGUGCUCGGUCUUAAGGAGGAUCAUGGAGAGGUUGCCUUUCUACAAAUCUCAGGGCACCUAGUCUUCAAAAGCAAAUACACAGAAACCACUCUUCACAAUUUAUUAAUUAGCCUGCAGCAUAUACAUUAGUUCCCUUCCUGGAUAUAGGGGGAACAUUUAACAGCGUGAAUACCAAAGCCAUCAAGGAGGCUGUAACCACAAUAGGAUUGGAGGGGUGCUUGGUCCUUUGAAGUGUUUCGUAUUUUGAAACUAGCGAAUAAGUUUUGUGCAGCAUAGUAUUGUGUGGCACCUUCAAUUUUUCAAAUUUCGUGGGGUCUCCUGUAUGUUGAGAUCUGUGAAGGAAUUAGCCAUGAGAUUGACAUCGAAGUGCAACGACCAACACAUUAUCGUAUUUGCCGUGCAUAAGGUGCAGUAGACAUUGAGGUGGAACGAGUUAAUAUAUAUUGGAAUUUUGUGGAGCUUUUUAUGUGCCAUCGUUUUGUACAUCGUGUACGUAGGGCGACAUCGUAUUCGAGUUUCUUCGAGGAUUUACUACGAUCGAAUAUAUAGGAAUUUGCUGGUAUUUUUUUUGCAUCGUAUACCUGUGAUCGAUGUCAAGUUCGAGGAUAAUCAGGUGCUGUGUUUUUGCUGUGGUCCAGGUCGCACACAAACAAGUUAAUUUUGGGGAAUGUUCACCAGAACUGUCGGGCAAGAGUUCGAACAGCUACUGAUUUCCAGGCGGCAAGGGAUGUCGUCAACUUUUCUUUGGAGACAGCGAUGAUUUGAGGUUUUCGCUGUAUAUCUGCGGGUCGAGAAUGACGGUGCGCUCGUAUUCGAUUUCUUCCCCCUGUUUCACUUCAAAAAGGAAAACACGCACACAUCGAAAUUCCACGUCUACGCUCGGUUGCGGAAAAUUCGGCCGCACUGGGGACUUUCUCUAACAUAAUCGUCAAUUACAAUCAGUUACUUUUAUUUAUUUUCGAUUCCUUGUCGGGGUCACCACUAGUUGGUUUAGAUUUUUUAGAAUAAAUAAUUAUCCAUCAAAUCAGAGUAUUUCAUUACAUAAAUGUUAAUCAGAACGAUCAAUGUUGCAGAAAAGACAAUAAGAACAACAUAAUGAACCAAAAGAUAAAUUUAAACUUUUUAUAAGCUCCCCCUCUCUGUCCUGACGCAUUCCUAAUUAACACAACAAAAAUAAUUUUCGUUGUCCUCCGGGCAAGGAGAAACAAUACCAGUGACAAGAUGUAAUCCUGCUAAACUCGGCUUUGAACCUUAAAUUCCUCUCAAAUUUGACCUCGGUACAGCACCUGACAUCAUAUGCAAAUCUGAUGAUAUCUAUGAGUUUCUUCUGAAUGCUCCUCCUACGUAAGACAGAUACCAUCCCCGUGCACACUAUCGAAAGCCUUCACGAAAUCGAUGAAGAGCAGAUGAAGCGAAAAUCUAAAGUCCGUGUACUGUUCUAGGGUGUUAAUAUGACCAAUGCAGAAGGAUCCGGAACGGAAACCAGCCUGCUCUCAAACUUUCAGAUGUUGUUUGAUGCGUUCCAGGAUUAUUUUAGCUAUCUUUGCGACGGAAGAAAGCGCGCAGAUAUCUCUGCAAUUAUUACACUCAAAAUCGGAAUCAUUCAUUCGAAUCGUACCGAUAAUUCCCUUCUUCCAAUCUCCGAGAAAGGUCUCGGAUUCCAAAGACUUCCGUACAAGUGGAAGCAGCAGACCUGCUGGUACAGAGAUAAUUGACUCUGCGGCGAGACGGUCAGUUCUAGCGGCUUUACUCCAUUUGAGUGCAUUGAUAGCAGAAAUAGUUUUCUUCUACUCGGAGGAACAGUCCGUAUCUGCAUUACGGUGGCUAGCCAUUUCACCCGCAAGAGGAGGAAACUCACCGGAUAUAAUAAAAACCGUGGUGAAGUGUUUUUUUCACCUCUUUAGUUGCUCGUCAUCGUGAAUGAGAAGUCGACCGUUAACGUCAUUCACCGGGCCAUCGAAAGAUUUGCGGCCACCUGCAAGCUCUUUCAUGAUGCGGUAUACCCUUCUAAACUCAUUGCGUUUUGCGGCAUCCUCCGCUUCCCUGACCAGCGCAAAAUUUGCUUUUGUCACGGCACACGCUACACUGAACUUCCCAAGACUUCGUUUGGUAACGGACUUCGGGCGCUUCACAACCUUUAUCAGUUGCAGCAGUCUACGAUUCGGCAGUCAGCCAGAUCUUAUGAGGCUCCUUCGGGACAUGGGCCGUGUAGCACCCGAGAAAAGAACAUUUUUGAUGGC